GGUUUCCUGGGCAAGGCUAAUCCUCCCAGGGUCAGUCGGGGGCUAAGGCGAGGCCGGGAGGCGUAGCCGACGCGCAGCAGGCAGACAUUCCUGCACCGCGCACGCGGCGCUACGACCGACGGGGCGACGGAUGGGGGUGGCUCGGCGGGGUUCUGGACGUCCCCGUGAUGGAGCGCGGCCCGCGGACCAGGGAAAUCCGGUCCGCACGAGGGCGAGGCUCCGGACGAAGCGAUUGAGCGAAGCGAGUGAGCCCGAGGUCCCUAGAAAAACCCCUAGGCAGGCGCGUGCGCGCCCGUACCGCAAACCGACACAGGUGGGUGGGUAGAACAUACCGAGGCGAUCGGGUCAACCAUGGUCAAGGAACUCGGCACAAUGGCCCCGUAACUUCGGGAGAAGGGGUGCCCGCGCGUACGUGAACCGGCUUGCCCGGGGAGCGGAGGCGGGCCGCAGUGGAGAGGCCCAAGCGACUGUUUACCAAAAACACAGGACUCUGCAGAAGCCGCAAGGCGACGUAUAGGGUCUGACGCCUGCCCGGUGCCGGAAGGUCACGCGGAGGAGUUAGCCGUCAAGGCGAAGCCCCGAAGCCAAGCCCCGGUAAACGGCGGCCGUAACUAUAACGGUCCUAAGGUAGCGAAAUUCCUUGUCGGGUAAGUUCCGACCUGCACGAAAGGCGCAACGACUUGGGCGCUGUCUCGACCAUGGACCCGGUGAAAUUGCACUGGUCGUGAAGAUGCGACUUACCCGCGGAAGGACGGAAAGACCCCGUGAACCUUCACUGCAGCUUGGCAUUGGCCGCUGGUCCCGCGUGUAGAGGAUAGGCAGGAGGCACAGAUCCGGAGGCGCCAGCCCCCGGGGAGCCGCCCUUGGAAUACUGCCCUCGCGCGACCGGCGUCCUAACCCGAGGCCGUCAACCGGCUCGGGGACCGUGCCAGGCGGGCAGUUUGACUGGGGCGGUCGCCUCCUAAAGGGUAACGGAGGCGCGCGAAGGUCCGCUCGGGACGGUCGGCAACCGUCCUUUUGAAUGCAAGAGUACAAGCGGGCUUGACUGCGAGGCCCACAAGCCGAGCAGGUGCGAAAGCAGGCUCUAGUGAUCCGGCGGCCCCGAGUGGGUGGGCCGUCGCUCAACGGAUAAAAGGUACUCCGGGGAUAACAGGCUGAUCUUGCCC
rnacentral:rRNA from 1 species